AUGUUUUCUCCGAUCUGGUCUCGUGAAUCGGUGAAUGGGGCCAAAGGGAGGCUGCUCCGAUCAAGGUCGCCCACCAUCAAGUCCCACUGUUGCCAAGGGCUGAAAUUUUCUUGUACUAUAUUUCUUUGGAGGUACAAGAUUACUACCACCAGCAGAACUGAUACCAAGGGCGUCUUUAGGAGGCAUGAGAGGGGAAUGAAGUGCUCAGAUGGGAUAUUCCACAACUUCAGUCCAUCAAAUCUCGGUAAUAUAUUUCUACCGCACAAAAAAGAAAAUGUUUUCCGCGUUGUAAUGCACAGGCAUAUGUGCUAG
rnacentral:rRNA from 1 species